AGUGGCGCACGGGUGAGUAACGCGUAGAUAACCUGUCUUACACAGGGGGAUAGCCGUUGGAAACGACGAUUAAUACCGCAUGAGACCACAGAAUCGCAUGAUAUAGGGGUCAAAGAUUUAUCGGUGUAAGAAGGGCUCGCGUCUGAUUAGCUAGUUGGAAGGGUAAAGGCCUACCAAGGCGACGAUCAGUAGCCGGUCUGAGAGGAUGAACGGCCACAUUGGAACUGAGACACGGUCCAAACUCCUACGGGAGGCAGCAGUGGGGAAUAUUGCACAAUGGGGGGAACCCUGAUGCAGCGACGCCGCGUGAGCGAAGAAGGUUUUCGAAUCGUAAAGCUCUGUCCUAUGAGAAGAUAAUGACGGUAUCAUAGGAGGAAGCCCCGGCUAAAUACGUGCCAGCAGCCGCGGUAAUACGUAUGGGGCGAGCGUUGUCCGGAAUUAUUGGGCGUAAAGGGUACGUAGGCGGUUUUUUAAGUCAGGUGUGAAAGCGUGAGGCUUAACCUCAUUAAGCACUUGAAACUGGAAGACUUGAGUGAAGGAGAGGAAAGUGGAAUUCCUAGUGUAGCGGUGAAAUGCGUAGAUAUUAGGAGGAAUACCGGUGGCGAAGGCGACUUUCUGGACUUUUACU
rnacentral:rRNA from 1 species